ensembl:snoRNA SNORD16 Small nucleolar RNA SNORD16
UGCUAUGAUGGUGUAAUUUGCGUCCUACUCUGUGUUCAGUGACAGUUGCCUGCUGUCUCAUGCUGGCACAGAUGGUUGAAGAAAAACAGAGACUGAGCA